rnacentral:rRNA from 1 species
GACGAACGCUGGCGGCGUGCUUAACACAUGCAAGUCGAACGGAAAGGCCCUGCUUUUGUGGGGUUCUCGAGUGGCGAACGGGUGAGUAACAAGUGAGUUACCUUCCCUUUACUUUUGGAUAACUUCAGGAAACUGGGGCUAAUACCCGAUAGGAGCUCCUUCUUCAUGGUGGGGGUUGGAAAGUUUCGGCGGUUGGGGAUGGACUCGCGGCUUAUCAGCUUGUUGGUGGGGUAGUGGCUUACCAAGGCUUUGACGGGUAGCCGGCCUGAGAGGGUGACCGGCCACAUUGGGACUGAGAUACGGCCCAGACUCCUACGGGAGGCAGCAGUGGGGAAUAUUGCACAAUGGGCGGAAGCCUGAUGCAGCAACGCCGCGUGCGGGAUGACGGCCUUCGGGUUGUAAACCGCUUUCGCCUGUGACGAAGCGUGAGUGACGGUAAUGGGUAAAGAAGCACCGGCUAACUACGUG